GACUGGCAUUUGGAUAUGCAGCUGACCAGCAAGGUGGUGCUGUCCGCAGCUGCGCUGCUCCUGGUAACUGUGGCUUACAAACUCUACAAGUCCAGGCCUGCCCCAGCCCCGCAUGCGGGAAGAAAGAAAGAGCGCCACAAAGCAGAAAAUGAAACGGAGGGCUUGGGACAACCUGCCUUCCAGGAGGCUCCACCGGGGACCCUG
rnacentral:lncRNA from 1 species